rnacentral:rRNA from 1 species
UAGGGAAUCUUCCGCAAUGGGCGAAAGCCUGACGGAGCAACGCCGCGUGAGUGAUGAAGGUCUUCGGAUCGUAAAACUCUGUUAUUAGGGAAGAACAAAUGUGUAAGUAACUAUGCACGUCUUGACGGUACCUAACCAGAAAGCCACGGCUAACUACGUGCCAGCAGCCGCGGUAAUACGUAGGUGGCAAGCGUUAUCCGGAAUUAUUGGGCGUAAAGCGCGCGUAGGCGGUUUUUUAAGUCUGAUGUGAAAGCCCACGGCUCAACCGUGGAGGGUCAUUGGAAACUGGAAAGCUUGAGUGCAGAAGAGGAAAGUGGAAUUCCAUGUGUAGCGGUGAAAUGCGCAGAGAUAUGGAGGAACACCAGUGGCGAAGGCGACUUUCUGGUCUGUAACUGACGCUGAUGUGCGAAAGCGUGGGGAUCAAACAGG